rnacentral:rRNA from 1 species
UUAAUAAUUAUAUUAUUUUUAUUUUUAGUUUAUUAAUUUUUUUAAUAAAAUUAAUUUUGUUGUUUAUUUGUUUUAGUAUAUUUUAUAGAAUUAAUUAAAUUUAUUAUAGUUUAGUAGUAAAGUAAUUGGUUUAUGAAAUAAUUUUUAAUUAAAUUUAAGUAAAUUUAAUUUAUUGUACCUUUUGUAUCAGGGUUUAUUAAAAUUUAAUUAUUUAUUUAAUUAUCUCGAUUUGGAUUGAUUUAUAAUCAACUUAUUUUUAAUGUUUUAUAAUUAUUUUAAAGUUGAUUAUAGAAAUGAAAUGUUAUUCGUUUUCUAAGAUAUCUAGUUUCUUAAGAAAAAAUUUAAUUUUUUAUAGUUAAUUUUGUUUUUAUUUAAUUUUUUAGGUAAUAAUGUUAACUAAUUAAUUUUUUAGGGGAUAAGCUCUAAAAAUUAUAAUCUAUAAUUUUUAAUUUAAAAAUUUAAUAGUAAGCUUUAUACCAGCUAUCUUAAUGAUUACGUUUUAGUUCAUUAUUUAAAUUUUUGAUUUUAUAAAAAUUUUAGGUUUAUUAUUAAGAUGAAUAAUUUAAUUUUAUAAUUUUUGUAAUAAUGAUAAAAUUAGUAUAAUUUUUAGUUUAUAAUAUAUUUUUAUAUAAUUUAUUAUAAGGAACUAGGCAAUUUUAAUUUCCGCCUGUUUAUCAAAAACAUGUCCUCUUGAUAAUAUUUUGAGGUCUGGUCUGCUCACUGAAGAAUUUUAAAUAGCCGCGGUAUUUUGACCGUGCAAAGGUAGCAUAAUCAUUAGUCUUUUAAUUAAAGGCUGGAAUGAAUGGCUUGACGAGAAAUUAACUGUCUCUUAAUAAUUUUUAAAAUUUAACUUUUGAGUCAAAAGGCUUAAAUUUUUUUUAAGGACGAGAAGACCCUAUAGAGCUUAACAUUAAUAUUAUAUUUAGUUUUUAGUUAAUCUUUCUAAAUUUAAUGAUAAUGUUUUGUUGGGGUGACAUGAAAAAUAAUUAAACUUUUCAUUAUUAAAUCAUUGAUUAAUGUUUUAUUGAUCCAUAAUUUAUGAUCAUAAGAUUAAGUUACCUUAGGGAUAACAGCGUAAUUGUUUUUGAGAGCUCAUAUCAACAAAACAGAUUGCGACCUCGAUGUUGGAUUAAGAUAAAUCUUGGGUGCAGUAGCCCAAUUAUUAGGUCUGUUCGACCUUUAAAUUCUUACAUGAUCUGAGUUCAAACCGGCGUAAGCCAGGUUGGUUUCUAUCCUAAAUUGAAUUUCUCCUUAUUAGUACGAAAGGACCAUAAGGAGAAAAUAUUUUUUAGUUUUAGAUUAACAUUAAUUUAU